GAUGAGGUCACCCACUGUAUGCGCUUUCGGUAGCCUAACUGCGUCCAGACUGAGUAGAAAUCCGCACACAAAUUAUGCAGCCCUGACCACCUCCUGAAGUGGUCAGCCAGAUCUGAACAAAAUCAGACCACAAAGCGACUUUUCUGCGUCUAUACCCGUCUUUUCAAUGCGAUCUUCGUAUUCUGAUAGCAGAAGUCGUAUUUAAUCAUAUCAGAGCUGUAGCUCCGCCCACCGGUCAAGUGGAUCAGAGCAUGCUGGGUGAUCUCGAGGUCAGAGAAGAAGAUCGAGAGGAGUCAAGCGAGAGAAAGUUCCAGCCAUCCUUGUUUUCACACCAGUUAGCUUUCAUUGUGUUAGCCAAGGCCAGUGUGCGUCCUUGUUGAUAUAGAACCCUCAGCACCCCUACUUCCCACGGUUUUGCCUUUGUCAAUAUUCAGCCUUACCAUCCUCCUGACAGAAUGGGGCCAGACAUCAUCCAGCAUAAGACAGUGGAGGGAAAAGUGAGAACUUGAAAGAGAAACCAGAGCAGCUGCUCACACACAAUGCUGCCAUUAGACACCUGGUCCCCAGAGAUACUGUUUAUUUAUUUAGAGUGAGAAUAGAUGGGGGGGGAGCAUGAUAAGAGAGAUGUGUUGUCAAUGUUUGGAGUA